GUCUCAGAAUUCAUUGAACAAGUGUUAUGGUUUCAUUUCAAUAUGUGGAAUCAGGCAUGUUUGUUUAGAAAAAGUGUAAUUCAUAUCCUGGGUCACAGACUGAUCACAAAUAGUUUUGAAUGCAUAGUGGGAAAUGUAAUUUAAGUCAUGAAUGGAAAAAAAUUUUUACACAAUAAAAUGUUUGCAUUUAGCAAUGUAUCAAAUUGUAAUUGCACAUAUUGCACUUUUAGGGCAAGCUUGAAUGUUUUGAAGCAAAAGUAACUUUUUCAGUAAGGCGUUUUAUUACAUACACUGUGCACUGGUGCAGUCUUUUUUCCACUGGUGGAAGUGGUCACUAAACAAUUUCUGGGUUCUCUAAAGCUAUGUUAAAUUUGCACUAAGACAUGAAUUUUAUUACAUUUCUUCAGGGGUGCUGCUGCCAUGAGGCGAGUUGAGAAACUAGCAGCCCGGAAUUACCAGGGUUGACAAAAAGCAAGAAAUUAUUCAACCGAAAAUCAGGCGGCAAGGAAAAGAGAAUGCCUCUGCAUUCUUUUGUUUUAAUUUACCAAGGUUUGGACUUCCAGAAGGUUCUGUAAUGGAGACUAACCCUGGUAGUCUAGUGGUGCGGCGGGGACGUCGCCACGCUGCUCCUCUUCUCUUGUGCCAGCUCCUUCCUAGUGAUGACAUCAGCGCGCAAUGGCGCGAAAUUUAAAAGUAUUAAAGGGACAUUUCUACUGUUUCUCAUUGCCCGUGAUAGGAUUUGAUUCCUAGUGGUUUCCUGAGCCUUGUGCUAGUUCCUGUUUGUCUGAAAUCUGUUCUGAUCUCCUGUGUUUGACCCGGCCUGGCUUUUGACUUCUCUGACCUCUGAAAACCUGACCCUUGCCUGAAACCGACUUUGAUUCCGCUUGUCCCUCCUGAUUGACUUCCUGGUUUGACUCCUGCCUGUUGUUUGCUAAUGACACACCAGGCUGAGUCUCAACCUGGUGAGGCCGUAGCCAUGCACAGUGAAAUGUUUUUUGCAGCAGUCAAUCACUCAAACACAGUGGUUGUUUAAAGUUAUCAUCAUUAGCUCCCUACUUUGCUCAGGACACCCUUAGCUCAUAACAAUGUUACAGACAUAGGAAAACAGAAGAGGCUUUCAUCACACAGUAACCACUCUUCUAUGCCAGGAGGACUCCAAAGUAAAAGAAGAGAAACUAUUUAGUGUUACUGCAAGAAAAGAACCUAUCUGAGCACUGUGAAAUAAAGCAGGAAGAUGAUCAAACAAGUUCUGUGAUUGUCAAAGUAGAACCUGAUGAAGAUGAAGACUCUGCACCUGCAAAAAAAAAAACAAAAUAAAGGGAAAAAAGAGCAAGACAAGAGGAAGCUGCAGAACUGUCAAAGUGGGAGGAAGAAAAGUACGAAGACGGCAUAAAGUGGACGUUUCUAGAACAUAAAGGCCCCUUUUUUGCUCCACCCUAUGAGCCAUUGCUGGAUAAUGUGAACUUUAUUAUGACGGUUACAGGAAGAAAUGGCCAGUUUCCAAAUGUUGGAUCAUGAAUAUACAACCAAGGAGAUCAUUCGCAAUAAUUUCUUCAUGGAUUGGAGAAAGGAGAUGACACUGGCAGAAAAGAUGGUGAUUACUGACCUGGCCAAAUGAGUCCUGCGCGGUACCAAUUUCUAGGACCCGGACCCGACCCCAACCUGCAGCCCGCGACCUGAACUGCAACCUUCAUAUUUACCCACUUUGAUCCGCUACCCGACCCAGAUCCGUAACUGCCUUAUCCAAACCCGACCCGCAACUUGCCAACCACCAUCAAGCAGGAAGGGAUGGUGCUGCAAACUGGAAGUGACGUCAUCAAAAGUGGGUGGGACAGAAACACGUUUUGUAA